AUAAGAGGAGCUGUUAUGAUUCCCAUUUGGUCGGCAGAGGACAGUGGAGACUCAGGGAGGCUCGUUACCUGCCAUGGUCACAGCUGGAAAGCAGGCUGCCGACAGGUUUGGGCAUCAUUAUCCAUGUAUUGAAGUGACUCUCCAAGCCACAAACAAAAUUUUUAACUGAAAGAGAUGAACUAUCCUCCUAAGUCUCACAGGGCUGGGGGGAGUAAGAUGAUGCUGACACCCACCAACUCAUUUGAUGAGUUGGUAUUUCGUACCAACUCAUCCUAUUAGACAUAAACGCAUGCUUUCAUUA
rnacentral:antisense_RNA from 1 species